rnacentral:rRNA from 1 species
GUGGCGAACGGGUGAGUAACACGUGAGCAAUCUGCCCUUGACUCUGGGAUAACUGCGGGAAACUGUAGCUAAUACCGGAUACUUUCCUCGCUGGGCAUCCAGCGGGGAAGAAAGAAUUUCGGUCAAGGAUGAGCUCGCGGCCNAUCAGCUAGUUGGUGAGGUAAUGGCUCACCAAGGCGACGACGGGUAGUCGGCCUGAGAGGGUGACCGGCCACACUGGAACUGAGACACGGUCCAGACUCCUACGGGAGGCAGCAGUGGGGAAUAUUGCACAAUGGGCGAAAGCCUGAUGCAGCAACGCCGCGUGAGGGAUGAAGGCCUUCGGGUUGUAAACCUCUUUUAGCAGGGAAGAAGCGAAAGUGACGGUACCUGCAGAAAAAGCACCGGCUAACUACGUGCCAGCAGCCGCGGUAAUACGUAGGGUGCAAGCGUUGUCCGGAAUUAUUGGGCGUAAAGAGCUCGUAGGCGGUUUGUCACGUCUGCUGUGAAAAUCCGAGGCUCAACCUCGGACUUGCAGUGGGUACGGGCAGGCUAGAGUGCGGUAGGGGAGAAGGGAAUUCCUGGUGUAGCGGUGGAAUGCGCAGAUAUCAGGAGGAACACCAAUGGCGAAGGCACUUCUCUGGGCCGUAACUGACGCUGAGGAGCGAAAGCGUGGGGAGCGAACAGGAUUAGAUACCCUGGUAGUCCAC